rnacentral:rRNA from 1 species
UACGGAGGGGGCUAGCGUUGUUCGGAAUUACUGGGCGUAAAGCGCGCGUAGGCGGCUUUGUAAGUUAGAGGUGAAAGCCCGGAGCUCAACUCCGGAACUGCCUUUAAGACUGCAUCGCUAGAAUUGUGGAGAGGUGAGUGGAAUUCCGAGUGUAGAGGUGAAAUUCGUAGAUAUUCGGAAGAACACCAGUGGCGAAGGCGACUCACUGGACCGUCUCUGACGCUGAGGUGGCGAAAAGCUAGGGUAGCAAACGGG